ACAAGUCCUUGACUAAAUGUUCAGCACCAUGGACAGGCAUGUUUACCUGUGUGUGGAUAGUAUUCAGCACCAAGGACAGGCAUGUUUACCC
rnacentral:pre_miRNA from 1 species